rnacentral:rRNA from 1 species
GACGAACGCUGGCGGCGUGCUUAACACAUGCAAGUCGAACGGAAAGGCCCUGCUCUGGGGGGGCUCGCGUGGGGCGAGCGGGUGUGAAACACGUGUGUAACCCGCCCUUGACUGGGGGAUAUCUUGAGGAAACGGGGGAUAAUACGGGAUAAGAGCUCCUGCUGCGUGGGGGGGGGGGGAAAUUUUCGGCGGUUGGGGAUGGACUCGCGGCUUAUCAGCUUGUUGGUGGGGUAGUGGCUUACCAAGGCUUUGACGGGUAGCCGGCCUGAGAGGGUGACCGGCCACAUUGGGACUGAGAUACGGCCCAGACUCCUACGGGAGGCAGCAGUGGGGAAUAUUGCACAAUGGGCGGAAGCCUGAUGCAGCAACGCCGUGUGCGGGAUGACGGCCUUCGGGUUGUAAACCGCUUUCGCUCAUGACGAAGCGUUGUUGACCGUAAGUGGUAAAAGAGGCACCGGCUAACUACUG